rnacentral:rRNA from 1 species
CCUACGGGUGGCAGCAGUGGGGAAUUUUGGACAAUGGGGGCAACCCUGAUCCAGCAAUGCCGCGUGUGUGAAGAAGGCCUUCGGGUUGUAAAGCACUUUUGUCCGGAAAGCGGUACCGGAAGAAUAAGGACCGGCUAACUACGUGCCAGCAGCCGCGGUAAUACGUAGGGUCCAAGCGUUAAUCGGAAUUACUGGGCGUAAAGCGUGCGCAGGCGGUUGUGCAAGACCGAUGUGAAAUCCCCGGGCUUAACCUGGGAAUUGCAUUGGUGACUGCACGGCUAGAGUGUGUCAGAGGGGGGUAGAAUUCCACGUGUAGCAGUGAAAUGCGUAGAGAUGUGGAGGAAUACCGAUGGCGAAGGCAGCCCCCUGGAUACACUGACGCUCAUGCACGAAAGCGUGGGGAGCAAACAGGAUUAGAUACCCUUGUAGUC